CUUUGCCUGGUGUGUACACCAGCAUCUCACAGUAUCAGCAAUGGAUUACAGACACUAUCACGAACCAUCCAAGCCAGAACCUCCCAACAUUUGUCACCUUAAGAAUCACACCAUGAGGUGUGUGGCAGCUCUGAAGACUCUUCUAGAAUUCGUGAACACUCAGGAAUGUCAUUAACCACUUCCACUGCAAACUCUUCAUCACAGAACCGCUCCACAAACUCAAUGUUUAAGAGUACCCUUCUCUCACUCUUCAUUUUGCAUAAUACUUCCUAAUAUCAAGCAAAUAUCUUUCACAUAAAUGUGUCUUUAAAUCAACUCAAAAUGACUUCAAUGUGAAAUUCCGUUUUUUUUCUGUCAAAUGGCAAUUUGACAUUAAUUUGAGUUAAAACCUGUUUAUCAUGAAAUAAAUUCUUUGAGCAUCUCAUGUACAA